CACUGCAGGGUUUGGGAGGACGGUCAGUCAAACCUCUGAGAAAAUCAGUCCUUUUCAAUACCCACAACAGGCAGUCCCCUGGGAUUUCCAAGGUCCCUACUCUCCCAUCUCCCUGAUUCCAAGUGAUUGCCAGAACCCUCUCACUUCUUGAUGCUGUUGGUAAUGAGCAGGUGGGCAUCGUGCCUCUCAUCCAAUAGAAGCAUGGCCCCCAGGUAGCCCACCCUCUUGUCUGUGAAUCUGGAGGAGGCGAUCAGUUUCAGGCACUCCAUCUAUAGUCAAGGGGGCAAACCAGGAAGAGGCAGGGGUGAAACCAUAGACACUCACAUCCCUGUUCCAUCUUCCUCUUUAAAACCAGAUUAACCUGUGGGGCAUCCUAUCUCAUCACUCUCCCUUCAACAAGAGGAGAAGCUUAGGAAAUUCAGGCGUUAGUGGGUAGGAGGAACUAGGAGUUGAGGAGGAUGGGAGAGGAAAGGAGGAGGUGCCUGGCCUAAACGAGGCUGGCCAGAGAAUGAAGGGUUCAGGCCAGCUGAUGACCAAUAGGGGUAGCAAUGGGGAAAGAGGUUUGCAGUGCAGCCUGUGAGGACUCUGAAAUUGUAGAAUUUGAAAAACCAGGGCAUAAACAGGUGAGAGAGUCCGUGACUCUGCCCCACUAGCCUUCAUCAAGCUCAGGAGGGAGGUAUUCCUGGCCAGUACCUGUCCAAAGUGGGCGGGGUAGCCCAACAUGUGGACGUAGAGCAGUUUGGCCAGCUGCCGGUGCCUGUGCACAGGGUCCCCAUCGCGGAAGGAGGCCCGGAUGUGGGCGCACUCCUUUUGGAUCACCUCCCGCUCCUGGGCCUGAGUCUUGGCCCCGCGAAUCUCUUCGAUGAGGUCCUGAAGCUUCAGCGAAGGCGCCACCAUUCUGACUGGCAGAGUCCGGGAGUGAAGAAACACUCUCUGGCCGGGCGUGCCUGGGUUUUCGGCCCAGGCGCGUCCUGUGUCAAGACCCUAAGAGCCCGGGUCCCACAGCGCUUCCUGGUACGGGGCCGAGCAGGGGUUGGUGAUCCGUGCGGUCCUUCCCUCUCCCCGCCUCCACCACGGGACCCCGCCCUCCUGGGCCGAUGCAGAGCCUUCCUGAAUCCUCUGACCUCGAGCCUCAGGCUUUAGCGGACAGACAGCAUGAUAGGCCUGGAGUUCUUCAAGAGGCCUCCUCGCACAUCCUCACCACCCGGAGAGCCUCAGUUUGGAUUUGAAGCCAUCGCACCCCAAAGGAGAUGACAAUCCCCCCCCUUUUUUGAACUUUUUUAUUAAUAUAUUUUUUUUUUU